CCAGGAAGAGGACUCUGGUAUUGCGCGUUUAGAGGUGAAAUUCCGACAUCUUCGCAGGACGAACGGAGGCGUAGGCUGUCAUUGCCCAUCACAUCUCUAUUGAUCAGGAACGAAAGUCAGGGGAUCGAAGAUGAUUAGAUACCGUCGUAGUCCUGACCGUAAACGAUACUAACUCGAGUUUGUAUGUAACAGUAUUUUAUAAAAUUGAUACAGAAUCCAAGGGAAACCGUUAAGUCUUUGGGUUCUGGGGGGAGUAUAGUCGCAAGGCCGAAACUUAAAGGAAUUGACGGAAAGACACCACCAGGAGUGGAGUUUGCGGCUUAAUUCGACUCAACGCGGGAAAACUCACUAGGAUAGGACAGAAUGAGGAUUGACAGGUUGAAUAUGGUCCUUUCUUGAUUUUUUGGAAGGUGGUGCAUGGCCGUUCUUAGUUCGUGGAGUGAUCUGUCUACUUAAUUGUGUUAACGAACGAGACCUUAACCUGUUAACUAGGCACUAGUUGAACUUUUGUUCAUGGGUUUCUAACGAAAUCUAGGCUAUUCGGGUUACCGAGCUUCUUAAAGGGACAAUACUGUGUAUUUUAUAUUUUAGCGUAGGGAAGUUUAAGGCAAUAACAGGU
rnacentral:rRNA from 1 species